AUUGAACGCUGGCGGCAGGCCUAACACAUGCAAGUCGAACGAGUGGCGGACGGGUGAGUAAUGUCUGGGAAACUGCCCGAUGGAGGGGGCUAACUACUGGAACCGGUAGCUAAUACCGCAUACCAUCCUAUGGGCCCAGAUUGGAUUAGCUAGUAGGGGGGGUAACGGCUCACCAAGGCGACGAUGCCUAGCUGGCCUGAGAGGAUGACCGGCCACACUGGAACUGAGACACGGCCCAGACUCCUACGGGAGGCAGCAGUGGGGAAUAUUGCACAAUGGGCGAAAGUCUGACCCAGCAACGCCGCGUGUGUGAAGAAGGUUUUCGGGUCGUAAAGCUCUUUCAGUGGGGAAGCGUUAUCUGACCAAGAAGCCACGGCUAACUACGUGCCAGCAGCCGCGGUAAUUC
rnacentral:rRNA from 1 species